CGUGGAUAACCUGCCUCACACAGGGGAUAACAGUUAGAAAUGACUGCUAAUGCCGCAUAAGCGCACGGCAUCGCAUGAUGCAGUGUGAAAAACUCCGGUGGUGUGAGAUGGAUCCGCGUCUGAUUAGGUAGUUGGUGGGGUAACGGCCCACCAAGCCGACGAUCAGUAGCCGACCUGAGAGGGUGACCGGCCACAUUGGGACUGAGACACGGCCCAA
rnacentral:rRNA from 1 species